CUUAGGACUUUAUAAUAAUCAAGAUAAAGAUAAGAUAUACAUUCAAUCAGAUAUAGAUAAGAGAUGCACUCAUCAAGGUAAAGGUACGAGAUAAACUCAAGGUAAAGAUAAACUCACUUCAGGUAAAGGUAAAGAUAAGCUCACCUCAGGUAAAGGUAAAGAUAAGCUCACUUCAGGUAAAGGUAAACUCACUUCAGGUAAAGAUAUGUUAAAACUCAAAUCAUUUAAAAGAUAACAGCAUAGGAGAUGACAACCAAGUUAAACAGACUUACUUACUGCUGAAUAUCAGAACGAUCCAAUUCUAGAUGACACAUUCUAAUUUCAACCUAAG